GAUAUCUGAUUCUAUUUAUAUAGGAAAACUUUUUUUUUUGCCGUGUCGCCCCAUUUUUUUAUCACUUUUCGUCUGUUUGGUGACAUUAUCACGUUCUUAAGAUGAAGCCCCCUUGUGGGUAUAUGCCAUUAUGUUGAGACAUUGGCAACAAGAAGACUACACGUCAUGCGCUUGCAAGUAUACUUAGGAUUGUUAGCGGUGGUAUAGAACGUACAACGCUAUGAAACAAGGCACUUUUUCACAGGGCCGGAGAUAAGGCAUAGUGGUGCUGUGCCUUGAGGAGCCGAGUCCGUCCCGAAAUUCGCCCGGAUACAAAGAAAUGGACUACAGGCGUCCCGUUCUACAAUCCAGUGUAUUUGCUUUUAUUAUCUUCAUUUGCAUCGAUGCAGUUUUGACGUACGGCGUUCAGUCAAGAAAUCCGUGGAACGCCGCGAUGAUGCUGUCCGGCGCGACGAUUCAGGUCACUCCCGAAGUGUUCAGUGCUGGCGUGUUGGCAACACUGGCAUCAGGUUUCAAGGCAAAGGAACAAAGAGGCCUCGCCUACGAAGCCAGCUUCAGAGACCUGCAGAUUUCGCACACACUGGGUAUCCCGCUGUCUUCAACGGGCGUAAAGGUCUCGGUGUGGAUCAACUCCCUGAAGUGGCGCCUGGAAGUCCUUGUCGACGAUGCCACCGGUGAAACAACGUUCAGAGACUUUCAGGUCCUCCACCUCGGGCAUGUCACCGUGAAGACCGAAGGCUUGUGGUAUCUGGACUACGUUGUCGGCCCUUCAGUAAACGCUGUUUUGGCGAUAACUCACGAAACAAUACAGAGGAUAGGACAGAAUGUGGGUAGAAGCAAACUCCGGCAGUCUUUUUGACGGCAAAGUAUAUUUUAUUAGCGUCCUCCGGCCGAGAGUCAGCUAACGGCUGUUAGACUCGGCGCAAGAAAUUCGCCGCGUCAGCGUGGUCUCAUGUGCCCCUAUUGAUGUCAGCGGCGGCAUGAGGGGUCAAAAUUCUUUCAACUUUCGUCAAACGACUGAAGCUUUCAAGUGGUCUUUGCUCUCACUUGACAACGUGACUUCGAACGUUUUACUCGAAAUAUUUCGUAUUGUGUUCUUUUUCGCGGUUUUUUCCAGCGCGGCAUGCUCAACAAGCGGCAGCAGUUCUUGUAGGGAAGCCGUGUUGAUCAGCGUUGCGUCGAGCGGGAAGGCGUCUACAGGCUAUGGACAGCUUUUGUUUUGCGAUAUAGUUUAACCACUUCUUGAGGAAAAAAAAAAGUUAUAAUUCUCUCUAAGUUUGCCACAUAUAUAUCCGCACAACGACUGGAUAUUACAGGCAAUACAGUUAUACGUUUUCGUGAAA